AUGGCAUGGUCUAAGUUGGUCGUGAAGGUCAUUCGUGUUCACAAGCUAUUCCCAGAGCAUAGUAAAGAUUCUACAAGUGCCUUUGUCGUGGUUACCUUUGAUUCUCGACAGUUCCGCACCAGCACCAAGUUCAAGGACGUGAGCCCAUCGUGGAACGAGAGCUUCUACUUCGACAUGUCGGAUGAAUAUAAUCUCGAUAAGCUUGCUCUUGAAGCUUUUGUAUAUGGCGUCGAUAAAUCAACCCAAAGCUCCAGGUCACUGCUCGGCAAGGUCAGCCUGUGUGUCACGCCUGACUCCAUGAAGGAUGUCAUGUAUUAUCCACUACAGAAGAAUGGGGCGUUCCCCCGUGAAGCCAAGGGGGUUUUGGCUCUGCAUGUAUGCAUUACUGACGAGGCUUCCAUCAGAUCUCAAGAACCCAUGAAUACCAGCAUGCGCUCACUCCAGCUUUCCUCGGCAAUGAGGUUGUGCGUGGAGGUCGUAAGUGCUCAUGACCUCAUGCCCAAGGAUGAGCAAGGUUCUGCAAAUACUUGUGUUGAGCUUUCCUUUGAUUACCACCAGUUCCACACGGCUGUCAAGGAGAAAGAUCUGAACCCAGUGUGGAACGAACGCUUUUACUUCGACGUGUGGGAUCCAUCUAGUCUUCCCGCGCUUGUUCUUGAGGCGUGUGUAUACAACGUCAACAAGUCCCUCAAAGGUUCCAAGUCCUUCCUUGGCGUGGUCAGACUGAAUUCCUACUCAUUCUUGAGUUACUCUGAUGACGCUGCAACAUCAUAUCAUCCACUGCAACAGAGUGGAAUGUUCUCGCCUCGUGUUACAGGGGGAUUGCGUCUAAGGGUAUACAUCACCAGUGAGCCCUCCGGUGGAGCCCCAAACCCAAUAGGCUUUCCACAAAACCAGAGUUCAGCAUAUGCUGUACCAUUUCAAAAUUUGAAACAAAUGACAAAUAACUUCUGCACCGACCGAAAACUUGGCCAGGGUAAUUCUGGUGUGGUAUAUAAGGGGGUGCUAAAAAAUCGGGAAAUGAUUGCUGUGAAGAGGAUCGUGUCAUCAUGGAUGCCUGGUUCGCAGGAGCAAUUUCAGAAUGAGGUUUAUCAUCUUAUGAUGCUUAAGCACCCCAAUAUUGUACGAUUUCUAGGCUACUGCUAUGAAACACGGAAUGAGGUUAAGCUGUGCAAUGGGAAACGUGUUUUUGCGGAGGUAGCUGAAAGGUUACUUUGCUUGGAGUAUCUUCCCAAGGGAAGCCUUGAUAAAUAUCUAUCAGAUGAAUCUUCCGGACUUGAUUGGAGCACACGCUACAAUAUAAUCGAGGGGAUUUGCUACGGGUUAUGUCACCUUCACGAGCAAAUUGAUAAGAAGAUCAUUCACUUGGACCUUAAACCUCCGAACAUAUUGCUGGAUGAUCGUAUGGUACCAAAAAUCACAGACUUUGGUCUGUCAAGACUACUUGAUCAACAACAAACACUUUACACUGAAUCUCGCCAUGGAACAUUUGGUUACAUGCCACCUGAAAUAUUUCAUGGAGGUACAGUUACACCUAAGUCAGACAUAUUCAGUCUGGGUGUAAUAAUCAUGGAGGUAAUAACCGGGUGCAGGGACUACCCAGACGUUACUAGAGAAUCUCCGGAUUAA
rnacentral:rRNA from 1 species